AUUCCAGCACUUGGUGGACAGACUCCUUGAUGGCUUCCAGGAAUUUGCCUGCGCAUACUUGGACGACAUAGCGAUCCAUAGUGAGUCCUGGGAGGAACACUUAGCUCAUGUAGGAAUAGUCCUGGAUCAGAUUCGGGCCGCGGGCCUGACCCUGAAGCCAGAGAAAUGCCACUUUGGGAUGGCUGAGGUACAGUACCUGGGCCACCGGGUAGGAU